rnacentral:rRNA from 1 species
CACGUAGGCGGCUCGCCAAGUCGGAUGUGAAAACCCUCGGCUUAACCGAGGAAGUGCAUUCGAAACUAGCGAGCUUGAGUACGGGAGAGGAUCGCGGAAUUCCCGGUGUAGAGGUGAAAUUCGUAGAUAUCGGGAGGAACACCAGUGGCGAAGGCGGCGGUCUGGACCGAUACUGACGCUGAGGUGCGAAAGCGUGGGGAGCAAACA